rnacentral:rRNA from 1 species
GAUGAACGCUGGCGGCGUGCCUAAUACAUGCAAGUCGAGCGAACGGACGAGAAGCUUGCUUCUCUGAUGUUAGCGGCGGACGGGUGAGUAACACGUGGAUAACCUACCUAUAAGACUGGGAUAACUUCGGGAAACCGGAGCUAAUACCGGAUAAUAUUUUGAACCGCAUGGUUCAAAAGUGAAAGACGGUCUUGCUGUCACUUAUAGAUGGAUCCGCGCUGCAUUAGCUAGUUGGUAAGGUAACGGCUUACCAAGGCAACGAUGCAUAGCCGACCUGAGAGGGUGGCCGGCCACAGUGGAGCGGAGACAGGGUCCGGCCCCCAGCGGGGGGCAGGAGGGGGGAUUUUCCCGAAAGGGGGGAAACCCGGAGGAAGCACCGCGGGGGGAUGGAUGAGGUUUUUGGGAUGUAAAACUUUUUUUAUGAGGGAAAAAAAUUUGUUAAAGAACCUGUACACAUCUGGCGGGUACCUAAUAAAAAGCCCAGGGCAAACUCGGUC